rnacentral:rRNA from 1 species
AGCGUACACGGUGGAUGCCCUGGCAGUCAGAGGCGAUGAAGGACGUGCUAAUCUGCGAAAAGCGCCGGUAAGGUGAUAUGAACCGUUAUAACCGGCGAUGUCCGAAUGGGGAAACCCGGUGCACUUCGGUGCAUCAUCGUUAGCUGAAUACAUAGGCUAACGAGGCGAACCGGGGGAACUGAAACAUCUAAGUACCCCGAGGAAAAGAAAUCAACCGAGAUUCCCCCAGUAGCGGCGAGCGAACGGGGAACAGCCCAGAGCCUGAAUCAGCUUGUGUGUCAGUGGAACGGUCUGGAAAGGCCGGCGAUACAGGGUGACAGCCCCGUACACGAAGGCACACAGGCUGUGAGCUCGAUGAGUAGGGCGGGACACGUGAUAUCCUGUCUGAAGAUGGGGGGACCAUCCUCCAAGGCUAAAUACUCCUGACUGACCGAUAGUGAACCAGUACCGUGAGGGAAAGGCGAAAAGAACCCCGGCGAGGGGAGUGAAACAGAACCUGAAACCGUGUACGUACAAGCAGUGGGAGCCUUCGUAAGAGGGUGACUGCGUACCUUUUGUAUAAUGGGUCAGCGACUUAUAUUCUGUAGCAAGGUUAACCGUAUAGGGGAGCCGAAGGGAAACCGAGUCUUAAUUGGGCGUUAAGUUGCAGGGUAUAGACCCGAAACCCGGUGAUCUAGCCAUGGGCAGGUUGAAGGUUGGGUAACACUAACUGGAGGACCGAACCGACUAAUGUUGAAAAAUUAGCGGAUGACCUGUGGCUGGGGGUGAAAGGCCAAUCAAACCGGGAGAUAGCUGGUUCUCCCCGAAAGCUAUUUAGGUAGCGCCUCGUGAACUCAUCUCCGGGGGUAGAGCACUGUUUCGGCUAGGGGGCCAUCCCGGCUUACCAACCCGAUGCAAACUGCGAAUACCGGAGAAUGUUAUCACGGGAGACACACGGCGGGUGCUAACGUCCGUCGUGAAGAGGGAAACAACCCAGACCGCCAGCUAAGGUCCCAAAGUCAUGGUUAAGUGGGAAACGAUGUGGGAAGGCCCAGACAGCCAGGAUGUUGGCUUAGAAGCAGCCAUCAUUUAAAGAAAGCGUAAUAGCUCACUGGUCGAGUCGGCCUGCGCGGAAGAUGUAACGGGGCUAAACCAUGCACCGAAGCUGCGGCAGCGACGCUUAUGCGUUGUUGGGUAGGGGAGCGUUCUGUAAGCCUGUGAAGGUGUGCUGUGAGGCAUGCUGGAGGUAUCAGAAGUGCGAAUGCUGACAUAAGUAACGAUAAAGCGGGUGAAAAGCCCGCUCGCCGGAAGACCAAGGGUUCCUGUCCAACGUUAAUCGGGGCAGGGUGAGUCGACCCCUAAGGCGAGGCCGAAAGGCGUAGUCGAUGGGAAACAGGUUAAUAUUCCUGUACUUGGUGUUACUGCGAAGGGGGGACGGAGAAGGCUAUGUCGGCCGGGCGACGGUUGUCCCGGUUUAAGCGUGUAGGCUGACUUUCCAGGCAAAUCCGGAAAGUUAAGGCUGAGGCGUGAUGACGAGGCACCACGGUGCUGAAGUGACAAAUGCCCUGCUUCCAGGAAAAGCCUCUAAGCAUCAGGUAACAUCAAAUCGUACCCCAAACCGACACAGGUGGUCAGGUAGAGAAUACCAAGGCGCUUGAGAGAACUCGGGUGAAGGAACUAGGCAAAAUGGUGCCGUAACUUCGGGAGAAGGCACGCUGACAUGUAGGUGAAGCCCCUGCGGGUGGAGCUGAAGUCAGUCGAAGAUACCAGCUGGCUGCAACUGUUUAUUAAAAACACAGCACUGUGCAAACACGAAAGUGGACGUAUACGGUGUGACGCCUGCCCGGUGCCGGAAGGUUAAUUGAUGGGGUUAUCGCAAGAGAAGCUCCUGAUCGAAGCCCCGGUAAACGGCGGCCGUAACUAUAACGGUCCUAAGGUAGCGAAAUUCCUUGUCGGGUAAGUUCCGACCUGCACGAAUGGCGUAAUGAUGGCCAGGCUGUCUCCACCCGAGACUCAGUGAAAUUGAACUCGCUGUGAAGAUGCAGUGUACCCGCGGCAAGACGGAAAGACCCCGUGAACCUUUACUACAGCUUGACACUGAACAUUGAGCCUUGAUGUGUAGGAUAGGUGGGAGGCUUUGAAGCGUGGACGCCAGUCUGCGUGGAGCCAACCUUGAAAUACCACCCUUUAAUGUUUGAUGUUCUAACCUGGCGCCGUAAUCCGGCGUGGGGACAGUGUCUGGUGGGUAGUUUGACUGGGGCGGUCUCCUCCCAAAGUGUAACGGAGGAGCACGAAGGUCAGCUAAUCCUGGUCGGACAUCAGGAGGUUAGUGCAAUGGCAUAAGCUGGCUUGACUGCGAGAGUGACGGCUCGAGCAGGUGCGAAAGCAGGUCAUAGUGAUCCGGUGGUUCUGUAUGGAAGGGCCAUCGCUCAACGGAUAAAAGGUACUCCGGGGAUAACAGGCUGAUACCGCCCAAGAGUUCAUAUCGACGGCGGUGUUUGGCACCUCGAUGUCGGCUCAUCACAUCCUGGGGCUGAAGUAGGUCCCAAGGGUAUGGCUGUUCGCCAUUUAAAGUGGUACGCGAGCUGGGUUUAGAACGUCGUGAGACAGUUCGGUCCCUAUCUGCCGUGGGCGCUGGAGAAUUGAGGGGGGCUGCUCCCAGUACGAGAGGACCGGAGUGGACGCAUCACUGGUGUUCGGGUUGUCAUGCCAAUGGCACUGCCCGGUAGCUAAAUGCGGAAGAGAUAAGUGCUGAAAGCAUCUAAGCACGAAACUUGCCCCGAGAUGAGUUCUCCCUGACUCCUUGA